GCCGCUGGUCCGAGGUUUGGGGGCUCGGCGGCCUGCGGCGGAGCGCCCUCCCCCUGCGCCGGCGGCUGGCUGCGCCUGCGGGGCCGGGGCUCGCAGUCUGGAGAGAGGAGCCGGUCGGAGCGAGUCUGGUUGUACGUUUUUGGCAGAAUACUACAGAAAUUAUACUGUGUCUUUGUCGGUGCAUAGUAUCCAGCCGGAUGGCAGCCUGUCCCAACUUGGGUGCUGUCAGCUUUGACCACUUGGCUCAAGGUUUUGUUUACCAGGCUUCUCCACCUUUUUUAUGCUUGUAAGUAGAGCAAUCCGCUGUGUUUUUGGCCAGUUCUAAGCAGAUCAGACCAUGUCACGUUCACACAAACUCCUUCAAGGCUUCCUGUUACCCUGGGUGUAAAUCUAAGCAUUUCCAUGGCCUGUGGGCCAAGGUGCUAAUUUGGCACAACUCGUUUGGCUCCCUGCUCAGUGGGGAGCCUGCUUCUCCUUCUGCCUCUCUCUGUCUCUCAUGA